rnacentral:rRNA from 1 species
UACGAAGGGUGCAAACGUUGCUCGGAAUUAUUGGGCGUAAAGCGCACGUAGGCGGCAUUGCAAGUCGGAUGUGAAAUCCCUCGGCUUAACCAAGGAAGUGCAUCCGAAACUGCAGUGCUUGAGUACUAAAGAGGAUCGCGGAAUUCCCGGUGUAGAGGUGAAAUUCGUAGAUAUCGGGAGGAGCACCAGUGGCGAAGGCGGCGAUCUGGGUAGAUACUGACGCUGAGGUGCGAAAGCGUGGGGAGCGAACAGG